UUCAUGCCUAAUGGUAUCGAUUGACUGUGUCCCCACCCAAGUCUCAUCUUGAAUUCCCACAUGUUGUGGGUGGGACCCGGUGGGAGUUAAUUGAAUCAUGGGGGCAGGUCUUUCCCAUGCUCUUCUCAUGAUAGUGAAUAAGUCUCAUGAGAUCUGACGGUAUUGAAAAACGGGAGUCUCCAUGCACAAGCUCUCUCUUUGCCUGCUGCCAACCAUGUAAGAUGAGAGUUGCUACUCCUUGCCUUCUACCAUGAUUGUGAGGCUUCUCCAGUCACAUGGAACUAAAAAAAGGUUUACCACAGUGGCUCAAGGAAAACGGAACCAGAGUAAGACAGUUUCUACUUGGACUUGGGGAACCAGCAAACUCAUUCACUUACAAUCAAGAACAAACCGAUUAAAUUGAAUAAAGGUCACUCAAAGGAGCCAAGCCCCUUUGUCAAAUCAGGAGCUCCAUCAGCCAAUCAGGAACCCAGAUGCCAGCGUGGGAGUUUGUCAGUGGAAAUAACAUUGCAUGACUUCCAAGUCUGGGUAAAGUGGAGUCAGAAGAAGAACCAAACGCUGAUUCGAACAUCUGGUAGAUGGAUCAUAAUUACAGCAGAGUUGCUGGGCAGAUAAGGCUGAAGACACGUAGAAGAAAACAACUAUUGGGUGAAUUUUGUGAGCAUUGAAAUGACACAGCACAGGGGAGCUAUAAAGGGGAGUUAUGACUUUGUUCCUGUUUUUAAAUCCACACUUUGCUGGUUCAAGAAUUGCUUUAAGAUCAUACUUUUGAUCUUCCGUGCACUCCUGAAGUAGGAAAAACACUGACUAGAAGGUCAAAGUCAUAAUACUACUGUAUGGUUGAUUUGAGGGGACUUCCUAGCUGUCCACCCAGUGCAUGAAUUCUUCUCUGCAACAUCCAUAUGUAAUGGCUAUCUGUGUUUUCUUUUGACUUCCUUCAGUGAUGUGAAACUUACCCUGAAUGAGACCUUCUUCUCCUAGGAAUACAAAAAGUUAAUAAUAAUAAUAAUAAUAGUUAUUAUCAAUUUAGCAUUUAUUAAAUACCAGACAUUGGAAUACAACCUUUACCUGCAUGUCGUUUAAAUUCAUUCUAAGUAUUAUCAACCCAUUUUAGAGAUGAAGUAAUCAAGACAGCAUUA
rnacentral:lncRNA from 1 species